rnacentral:lncRNA from 1 species
CGCACCCCAAGAAGUCUCUGAGGACAUCUUGAGGGACGCAGGCCCAAUUUAAAACUCCUGCCUACAGCAAGGUGUCUGUCUUAAUACUAACACACUGCAUUCUAUGGGUCUGGUAAACAUCUGCCAUCUCCACCCCAUGGGAGCUUCUUAAGGGAAAGCACUGAGCUUCCUUUGUUCAUUCACUCCCUCAGUCGAUCAGCUGGUCAGUCGGUCAGUCACCAAUAACUUUGUUUUUUUUAACAAAUAUGCCUGAGUACCCACUGUGUACUGGGCAGAUACAGCUGAACAAUCCUCUAGGAACUCACAGGUUUAUAAGAGAAGCAGGAAAAAGUGGAGGAAGUGGAAGGAAGCCAAAGCAUCCCUCCUUUCACUUUCACUGACCACUGAGUGGGUCUCGCUGGGUCUCAGUGAAAAGAAAGCUGUUUCUACUGCUUUAACCCUUUCCAAUGCAUGUCCCUUUAGACAGAGUAACCCCUGUGAGCUGGUAAUCAAACAGAAUUUUAUUCAAGUGAAACAAACAAUGGAGAAAUAUGGAGUACCCCAAAUUUCCUCCCUUUAAUUUGCACAUUUUGAAGUGCAGAUAUUAGUAAGUAGUUUAUUUACAUGAACAUACAGGAACUUUAACCUUUAAGAGUUUGUAAAAUACGGCUUAGUUUAAAUGCAUUUAUUUGUCUAAAAUUCCUGGUAGUUAAUUGUACUUUUUUUUUUGGCAAGUUUUCACUUGAAAUCUCAAAGUACUUUAAAGUAAGAUGGCAUUAAAAACAGCAACAGGAAUAAGCCGACGUGUCUUAAGGGCUUACCAUGUUUAGACACUAAGUGCUGUUAACAUAUAUCACUAUUUACUCCUUGAACUCGUCCUAUUUGUUAUUAUAUACACACCAUAUACUGUAUUAUUAUUAUUGUCUCAGCUUCACCGAUAAGGAACCCUAGCUUGGUGAGUUCUGAAUUGCUGGCAGAUUAGGGAGGAAUGGACAGUGGAACCCAGCCCUGGCUGUGCCCAGACCCCCUCUCCUCUGCAACACUGUCUGCCUCUGAGGCGCGUGGAGUCCUUCUCCAGCUCUUCAAAGCGUUGCAGGUCCAUGUUGUCCCAACAGAAUUUAAAGGUGCAGGCCAGCAUCACCUGCAAAGUCCCAGGUUGGAAGAGAACCUCGUCUACACUUCUACAGGCAGAUAAGGUCAGAAGUACAUUUUCCAGUCNNNNNNNNNNNNNNNNNNNNNNNNNNNNNNNNNNNNNNNNNNNNNNNNNNNNNNNNNNNNNNNNNNCAAGGUCCCUCAACCUCAGGACUAUUGACAUUGGGGCUGGAUCAUCCUCUCUUGUCGGGGGCUGUUCUGUGCACUAUAAGAUGUUUAGCAGCAUCCUGGUUUCUACCUACUAGAUGCCAGUAGCACCCUCACAAAGAAAAAAGAAGGGGUGAGCAAAGGCUGCAUUGAGCUCCUUGGUGGGCAGCUCUGCAGCUGUGACCUCUGGACUCAUAACUGGCUUUUUAGCCUCAUACAGCUUCUGCACUUAACUUCACAUUGAUGGCAAGGCCCUCGGCAAUGCCCCCUGGCAUUUUUCAAAGUUUUCUGCACACAGAAGUCUUAUUCCUUUUUAUUAACCAACUGAUAUAUUCCUCCCUCCUUCCCGACCCCACACGCAGUAUGUUAAACCUCACCUCACGGAGCUCCUGGCCUUGGCAUCCGCGUGGACCUGCACAGAGGGUCCUGCCAGGCGGUGAAUUUGUACU